rnacentral:rRNA from 1 species
GACGAACGCUGGCGGCGUGCUUAACACAUGCAAGUCGAACGGUAAGGCCCCAGCUUGCUGGGGUACACGAGUGGCGAACGGGUGAGUAACACGUGGGUGACCUGCCCCGCACUUCGGGAUAAGCCUGGGAAACUGGGUCUAAUACCGGAUAGGACCGCACCGUGAGGGUGUGGUGGAAAGUUUUUCGGUGUGGGAUGGGCCCGCGGCCUAUCAGCUUGUUGGUGGGGUAAUGGCCUACCAAAGCGGCGACGGGUAGCCGGCCUGAGAGGGUGGACGGCCACAUUGGGACUGAGACACGGCCCAGACUCCUACGGGAGGCAGCAGUGGGGAAUAUUGCACAAUGGGCGGAAGCCUGAUGCAGCGACGCCGCGUGGGGGAUGACGGCCUUCGGGUUGUAAACUCCUUUCACCAUCGACGAAGGUUUUCUGACGGUAGAUGGAGAAGAAGCACCGGCUAACUACGUG